rnacentral:rRNA from 1 species
AGCGUACACGGUGGAUGCCCUGGCAGUCAGAGGCGAUGAAGGACGUGCUAAUCUGCGAUAAGCGUCGGUGAGGUGAUAUGAACCGUUAUAACCGGCGAUUUCCGAAUGGGGAAACCCAGUGUGUUUCGACACACUAUCAUUAACUGAAUCCAUAGGUUAAUGAGGCGAACCGGGGGAACUGAAACAUCUAAGUACCCCGAGGAAAAGAAAUCAACCGAGAUUCCCCCAGUAGCGGCGAGCGAACGGGGAGGAGCCCAGAGCCUGAAUCAGUGUGUGUAUUAGUGGAAGCGUCUGGAAAGGCGCGCGAUACAGGGUGACAGCCCCGUACACAAAAAUGCACAUAUUGUGAGCUCGAUGAGUAGGGCGGGACACGUGGUAUCCUGUCUGAAUAUGGGGGGACCAUCCUCCAAGGCUAAAUACUCCUGACUGACCGAUAGUGAACCAGUACCGUGAGGGAAAGGCGAAAAGAACCCCGGCGAGGGGAGUGAAAAAGAACCUGAAACCGUGUACGUACAAGCAGUGGGAGCCUCUUAAUGGGGUGACUGCGUACCUUUUGUAUAAUGGGUCAGCGACUUAUAUUCUGUAGCAAGGUUAACCGAAUAGGGGAGCCGAAGGGAAACCGAGUCUUAACUGGGCGUUAAGUUGCAGGGUAUAGACCCGAAACCCGGUGAUCUAGCCAUGGGCAGGUUGAAGGUUGGGUAACACUAACUGGAGGACCGAACCGACUAAUGUUGAAAAAUUAGCGGAUGACUUGUGGCUGGGGGUGAAAGGCCAAUCAAACCGGGAGAUAGCUGGUUCUCCCCGAAAGCUAUUUAGGUAGCGCCUCGUGAAUUCAUCUCCGGGGGUAGAGCACUGUUUCGGCAAGGGGGUCAUCCCGACUUACCAACCCGAUGCAAACUGCGAAUACCGGAGAAUGUUAUCACGGGAGACACACGGCGGGUGCUAACGUCCGUCGUGAAGAGGGAAACAACCCAGACCGCCAGCUAAGGUCCCAAAGUCAUGGUUAAGUGGGAAACGAUGUGGGAAGGCCCAGACAGCCAGGAUGUUGGCUUAGAAGCAGCCAUCAUUUAAAGAAAGCGUAAUAGCUCACUGGUCGAGUCGGCCUGCGCGGAAGAUGUAACGGGGCUAAACCAUGCACCGAAGCUGCGGCAGCGACACUAUGUGUUGUUGGGUAGGGGAGCGUUCUGUAAGCCUGUGAAGGUGGCCUGUGAGGGUUGCUGGAGGUAUCAGAAGUGCGAAUGCUGACAUAAGUAACGAUAAAGCGGGUGAAAAGCCCGCUCGCCGGAAGACCAAGGGUUCCUGUCCAACGUUAAUCGGGGCAGGGUGAGUCGACCCCUAAGGCGAGGCCGAAAGGCGUAGUCGAUGGGAAACAGGUUAAUAUUCCUGUACUUGGUGUUACUGCGAAGGGGGGACGGAGAAGGCUAUGUUGGCCGGGCGACGGUUGUCCCGGUUUAAGCGUGUAGGCUGGUUUUCCAGGCAAAUCCGGAAAACCAAGGCUGAGGCGUGAUGACGAGGCACUACGGUGCUGAAGUGACAAAUGCCCUGCUUCCAGGAAAAGCCUCUAAGCAUCAGGUAACAUCAAAUCGUACCCCAAACCGACACAGGUGGUCAGGUAGAGAAUACCAAGGCGCUUGAGAGAACUCGGGUGAAGGAACUAGGCAAAAUGGUGCCGUAACUUCGGGAGAAGGCACGCUGAUAUGUAGGUGAAGCGACUUGCUCGUGGAGCUGAAAUCAGUCGAAGAUACCAGCUGGCUGCAACUGUUUAUUAAAAACACAGCACUGUGCAAACACGAAAGUGGACGUAUACGGUGUGACGCCUGCCCGGUGCCGGAAGGUUAAUUGAUGGGGUUAGCGGUAACGCGAAGCUCUUGAUCGAAGCCCCGGUAAACGGCGGCCGUAACUAUAACGGUCCUAAGGUAGCGAAAUUCCUUGUCGGGUAAGUUCCGACCUGCACGAAUGGCGUAAUGAUGGCCAGGCUGUCUCCACCCGAGACUCAGUGAAAUUGAACUCGCUGUGAAGAUGCAGUGUACCCGCGGCAAGACGGAAAGACCCCGUGAACCUUUACUAUAGCUUGACACUGAACAUUGAGCCUUGAUGUGUAGGAUAGGUGGGAGGCUUUGAAGUGUGGACGCCAGUCUGCAUGGAGCCGACCUUGAAAUACCACCCUUUAAUGUUUGAUGUUCUAACGUUGGCCCGUAAUCCGGGUUGCGGACAGUGUCUGGUGGGUAGUUUGACUGGGGCGGUCUCCUCCUAAAGAGUAACGGAGGAGCACGAAGGUUGGCUAAUCCUGGUCGGACAUCAGGAGGUUAGUGCAAUGGCAUAAGCCAGCUUGACUGCGAGCGUGACGGCGCGAGCAGGUGCGAAAGCAGGUCAUAGUGAUCCGGUGGUUCUGAAUGGAAGGGCCAUCGCUCAACGGAUAAAAGGUACUCCGGGGAUAACAGGCUGAUACCGCCCAAGAGUUCAUAUCGACGGCGGUGUUUGGCACCUCGAUGUCGGCUCAUCACAUCCUGGGGCUGAAGUAGGUCCCAAGGGUAUGGCUGUUCGCCAUUUAAAGUGGUACGCGAGCUGGGUUUAGAACGUCGUGAGACAGUUCGGUCCCUAUCUGCCGUGGGCGCUGGAGAACUGAGGGGGGCUGCUCCUAGUACGAGAGGACCGGAGUGGACGCAUCACUGGUGUUCGGGUUGUCAUGCCAAUGGCACUGCCCGGUAGCUAAAUGCGGAAGAGAUAAGUGCUGAAAGCAUCUAAGCACGAAACUUGCCCCGAGAUGAGUUCU